GAUGAACGCCAUCUACAGGCUUAACACAUGCAAGUCGAGGGGCAGCAUGUCGGUUGCUUGCAACCGAUGAUGGCGACCGGCGCACGGGUGAGUAACGCGUAUCCAACCUACCCUUGUCCAUCGGAUAACCCGUCGAAAGGCGGCCUAACACGAUAUGCGGUUCUCAGCAGGCAUCUAACGAGAACGAAAUGUGAAGGAGAAGGAUGGGGAUGCGUCUGAUUAGCUUGUUGGCGGGGUAACGGCCCACCAAGGCGACGAUCAGUAGGGGUUCUGAGAGGAAGGUCCCCCACAUUGGAACUGAGACACGGUCCAAACUCCUACGGGAGGCAGCAGUGAGGAAUAUUGGUCAAUGGACGGGAGUCUGAACCAGCCAAGUAGCGUGCAGGAUGACGGCCCUAUGGGUUGUAAACUGCUUUUAUAGGGGGAUAAAGUGUGCCACGUGUGGCAUAUUGCAGGUACCCUAUGAAUAAGGACCGGCUAAUUCCGUGCCAGCAGCCGCGGUAAUACGGAAGGUCCGGGCGUUAUCCGGAUUUAUUGGGUUAAAAGGGAGCGUAGGCCGUCUUAUAAGCGUGUUGUGAAAUGUCGGGGCUCAACCUGGGCAUUGCAGCGCGAACUGUGAGACUUGAGUGCGCAGGAAGUAGGCGGAAUUCGUCGCGUAGCGGUGAAAUGCUUAGAUAUGACGAAGAACUCCGAUUGCGAAGGCAGCCUGCUGUAGCGCAACUGACGCUGAAGCUCGAAAGCGUGGGUAUCGAACAGG
rnacentral:rRNA from 1 species